rnacentral:misc_RNA from 1 species
AACGCAUAUUGCGCUCUUUGGUAUUCCGAAGAGCAUGCUUGUUUGAGUAUCAGUAAACACCUCAACCAGAUUUUUUUUCUGGAUGGACUUGAGCAAACCCAACAUUGGUCUCUCUUUCGAGAGGUCGGCGGCGGGUUGCUUGAAAUGCAGGUGCAGCUGUGACAAGAACAGACUGAGCUAAAAGCAUAUCUAAUUUAGUCCGCCUGGCGGAUUAUCUCUAUUUGCUGCAGUUCAACUAAAAGUCGUCUUGGCGAGCUGACUGAUGCAGGAUUUGUCAGACUUUCCUCUCUCUUUGGAGAAAGGGCUUUCUUUCAAAACUCGAUCUCAAAUCAAGUAAGACUACCCGCUGAACUUAA